GGACGGUGACGAUCUCAUCAGUAAAAGGUCUCGUUCGUCGUAAAUCGGCUGUUUUUAAUAGCCCUUGCCGACUAUCCUGCUAUAUCACCACCCAUACUCCGAGUCC